UACGGAGGGUGCAAGCGUUGUUCGGAAUUAUUGGGCGUAAAGGGCGCGUAGGCGGUUGUGAUAGUCAGAUGUGAAAUCCUCCGGCUUAACUGGGGAACUGCAUCUGAAACUUCAUAGCUAGAGUACAGGAGAGGGAAACGGAAUUCCCGGUGUAGAGGUGGAAUUCGUAGAUAUCGGGAGGAACACCAGUGGCGAAGGCGGUUUCCUGGCCUGAUACUGACGCUGAGGCGCGAAAGCGUGGGGAGCAAACAGGGAUUAGGAUACCCUGGUAGUCCCU
rnacentral:rRNA from 1 species